rnacentral:tRNA from 1 species
GACCGCAUAGCGCAGUGGAUCAGCGCGUUUGACUUCGAAUCAAAAUUGGUAACAGGGUUUGAACCAUGUGGCA